GUCCGCACUGUAAACGAUGAUUACUCGCUGCUAGAGGGCAACUUUUAGUGGCUUAGCGAAAGCGAUAAGUAAUCCACCUGGGGAGUACGCCGGCAACGGUGAAACUCAAAAGGAAUUGACGGGGGCCCGCACAAGCGGAGGAGCAUGUGGUUUAAUUCGAUGAUACGCGAGGAACCUUACCAGGGCUUGAAAGUUAAGGAAUGAUAAUGAAAGUUGUCAGUCAGCAAUGAACCUAAAACUAGGUGCUGCAUGACUGUCGU
rnacentral:rRNA from 1 species